rnacentral:rRNA from 1 species
UACAGAGGUCUCAAGCGUUGUUCGGAUUCAUUGGGCGUAAAGGGAGCGUAGGUGGCGGGGUAAGUCAGGUGUGAAAUCUCGGGGCUCAACCCCGAAACUGCACUUGAUACUGCCUUGCUAGAGUACUGGAGAGGAGAUUGGAAUUUACGGUGUAGCAGUGAAAUGCGUAGAUAUCGUAAGGAAGACCAGUGGCGAAGGCGAAUCUCUGGACAGUUACUGACACUGAGGCACGAAGGCCAGGGGAGCAAACGGGG